UAUAUUUGAGUGGAAUAACAA
rnacentral:piRNA from 1 species